AUUCCAUGGUGAGGACGGCUUUUGGUGUACCCCUUAAGACGUUCCCAAGCUUCACACUGAGAGAUUUCUGGUUUUCCUGUCUAAAGGAGUUGAUAUCACUUUUGUACU
rfam:Arabis alpina cultivar Pajares chromosome 5, whole genome shotgun sequence.